CGUAUUAUUUAAUUGUUAUGUUUAAGGGACACUUCAGCAUUUGAACUGGGACGGUCGUCUUCUAAGGGUGGACAGUGAACCGAAGGUUCCACGGAGAUCUAGAUCUUGUAAAACACGGCGAACACAUCUCCCCCCUCCACAUCUCGGGCCCAGAAAAAGCUUGAGUACUUCUAAUCUUUUCCCCUCUCCACUUCAGCAUAAUGGAAGUAUGAAACUCUCCUCUCGAAGUGAGGAUGCUGUUCUCAAAUUUCUGAG